UGCAAUUGUAUUUAAAGAAGGGCAUAGUUUGCUGAACACAGUACAUAGCUAAGAUAUAUAGAAUCAUAGAAGAAGCGUUAUCAAUUAUAACAUAUAUGUUUCGUGUUGCAGUUUCAAUGAACACAUAUAUCUCUGAUUAUAAAAUGAUUAAUGAUGUAUUGACAAUUAAUUGUAAGUUUCUAAGAUAAGGCCCUUUUCUCAGUUACGAUACAGUGUACAUACAUAAAGCAAUGUGUUUAGACUUUAGAGGAACAAAAAGUCAGUGUGGUUACUGCUGCUGUUUGAGAUAUGAUGUGACUGGUGUUCACCAUUAUUUUGAGUAUGGGGAUGUUUUGAUUAGUCAGCUACUCUUUUUAAAAAUGGUCAAUAAUUAACAAUACCGUUACAAUUGUCAAACCAAAACAAGUCUAAUAUUUUCUGAUUAGGACCUUUAACUGCACCAUAAAAACUGUAUGAGGCAAAAGUUGUACAAUAAAAUAUUAUGAUGUAAACCACACAAUAUAAUGACGUAAAUGGUCAACAGGUUAUCUAACCUUAUGUCCUGACCUAGGCAAGUGAUUAUUUAAUAUAAGUCACUAGCAUUAUUAAAUUUUCUUUUAUUUCUAAGAAUGCUGUGAAAGUAUAGUGAAAUAGAUAUUAUUUUCUAGAAUCUCAGAAAUUUUUUGAUACCAUGUGUUUUUUAUCAUGGCUAUUGAGCCAUGAUAAAACACUUGUGUAAUUGUUGGUUGUAUUGGUUACCUUGGUAAAUUACAUACAAACUAAUUUAAGUGGAUGUCUUCUAUGCGAGUAAUAAGUUGAUCAGCAAGUAGCAGAACUGUCUUCAGGGAGAAACGGCGUGAACAGAAGUUAAAAAGAUCUUCUAAAGAUGGGCCUAAUAGUUCCAUCACCAUCACAUUGUAAUCUCCUUCUGAGCCACACCAUUUUAUUGCAGGAAUACCAACUGGUGAAUAAAAAUAAGAUUAGUAUAAACAUUACUUUAAUCUGUAUAUCUUAAUACAUUAUCUAUUUAUUAUCACAAUUUUGAAAUAUAUUUAUUUAAUAAUAUAAAUGGCAAUGGGAAUAGUCCCUAAUAGAGUAGGACAGUUAACUAUAUUAUAACUAACAUCUUAUUUGUUAACAUCUCUAGUUUAGAUGAUUUAUAUAUUCAAAAUAAAGCAUUAGUUAUUGGAUAA